GGCUCAGGAUGAACGCGGGCGGUAUGCUUAACACAUGCAAGUCGAACGGAAUGCUUAGGCAUUUAGUGGCGGACGGGUGAGUAACGCGUGAGAAUUUGGCUUCAGGUCGGGGACAACAGUUGGAAACGACUGCUAAUACCGGAUAUGCCGGAAGGUGAAAGAUUUAUUGCCUGAAGAUAAGCUCGCGUCUGAUUAGCUAGUUGGUGGGGUAAGAGCCUACCAAGGCGACGAUCAGUAGCUGGUCUGAGAGGAUGAUCAGCCACACUGGGACUGAGACACGGCCCAGACUCCUACGGGAGGCAGCAGUGGGGAAUUUUCCGCAAUGGGCGAAAGCCUGACGGAGCAAUACCGCGUGAGGGAGGAAGGCUCUUGGGUCGUAAACCUCUUUUCUCAGGGAAGAAAAAAAUGACGGUACCUGAGGAAUAAGCAUCGGCUAACUCCGUGCCAGCAGCCGCGGUAAUACGGAGGAUGCAAGCGUUAUCCGGAAUGAUUGGGCGUAAAGGGUCUGUAGGUGGUGCUGUAAGUCUGCUGUUAAAGAGUCACGCUCAACGUGAUAAAAGCGGUGGAAACUACAGGACUAGAGUGCGGUCGGGGCAGAAGGAAUUCCUGGUGUAGCGGUGAAAUGCGUAGAUAUCAGGAAGAACACCGGUGGCGAAAGCGUUCUGCUAGUCCGCAACUGACACUGAGGGACGAAAGCUAGGGGAGCGAGUGGGAUUAGAUACCCCAGUAGUCCUAGCCGUAAACGAUGGAUACUAGGCGUGGCUUGUAUCGACCCGAGCCGUGCCGGAGCUAACGCGUUAAGUAUCCCGCCUGGGGAGU
rnacentral:rRNA from 1 species